UACGUAGGGUGCAAGCGUUGUCCGGAAUUAUUGGGCGUAAAGAGCGCGCAGGCGGCUUGGCAAGUCGGGUGUGAAAUCCCGGGGCUCAACCCCGGGACUGCAUUCGAUACUGUCAGGCUAGAGGUAGGUAGGGGAGAUCGGAAUUCCUGGUGUAGCGGUGAAAUGCGCAGAUAUCUGGAGGAACACCGAUGGCGAAGGCAGCCCCCUGGGCUAACACUGACGCUGAUGCACGAAAGCGUGGGGAGCAAACAGG
rnacentral:rRNA from 1 species